rnacentral:rRNA from 1 species
AACGGCUGGCGGCGUGCCUAAUACAUGCAAGUCGAACGGUCUUUCUAUGGAAGCUUGCUUCCACGUGAGAAGGUAGUGGCGAAACGGGGUGAGUAACACGUGGGGUAACCUGCCCAUAAGAGGGGGAUAACAUCCGGAAACGGGUGCUAAUACCGCAUAGUUUUCUUGAUCGCAUGAUUGAGAAAGGAAAGACGGCCUUUGUGCUGUCGCUUAUGGAUGGACCCGCGGCGUAUUAGUUAGUUGGUGAGGUAAUGGCUCACCAAGACGAUGAUACGUAGCCGACCUGAGAGGGUGAUCGGCCACAUUGGGACUGAGACACGGCCCAAACUCCUACGGGAGGCAGCAGUAGGGAAUCUUCCGCAAUGGACGAAAGUCUGACGGAGCAACGCCGCGUGAGUGAAAGAAGGUUUUCGGAUCGUAAAACUCUGUUGUCAGAGAAGAACAAGUUGGAGAGUAACUGCUCCAGCCUUGACGGUAUCUGACCAGAAAGCCACGGCUAACUACGUGCCAGCCGCCGC